UACGUAGGGUGCGAGCGUUAAUCGGAAUUACUGGGCGUAAAGCGUGCGCAGGCGGUUUUGUAAGCCAGAUGUGAAAUCCCCCGGGCUUAACCUGGGAAUGGCAUUUGGGACUGCAAGGCUUGAGUGCGGCAGAGGAGACUGGAAUUCCUGGUGUAGCAGUGAAAUGCGUAGAUAUUCGGAAGAACACCAGUGGCGAAGGCGACUCACUGGACACGUAUUGACGCUGAGGUGCGAAAGCGUGGGGAGCAAACAGGG
rnacentral:rRNA from 1 species